GUGGGAGAGUUCAGUCAGUAAAGCAUGAGACUCCUAAUCUCAGGGUCAUGGGUUUGAGCCCCACAUUCCUGCA